rnacentral:rRNA from 1 species
CCUACGGGAGGCAGCAGUGGGGAAUAUUGCACAAUGGGCGCAAGCCUGAUGCAGCGACGCCGCGUGAGCGAUGAAGGCCUUCGGGUCGUAAAGCUCUGUCCUAAGGGAAGAAUAAUGACGGUACCUUAGGAGGAAGCCCCGGCUAACUACGUGCCAGCAGCCGCGGUAAUACGCAGGGGGCGAGCGUUAUCCGGAAUCACUGGGCGUAAAGGGUGCGUAGGCGGCCCUGCAAGUCAGGAGUUAAAGCCCGCGGCUCAACCGAGGUAAGCUCGUGAAACUGUAGGGCUUGAGUGCAGGAGAGGAGAGUGGAAUGCCGAGGGUAGCGGUGAAAUGCGUAGAUAUUAGGAGGAGCACCAGUGGCGAAGGCGACUCUCGGGACUGCAACUGACGCGGAGGCACGAAAGCGUGGGGAGCGAACAGGGUUAGAUACCCCAGUAGUC